rnacentral:lncRNA from 1 species
AAAACUGUGACUAGAGGGAAAUUAUAUAGUUGAGUAGCUCUACUCGGUAUACAUCUCUAUAAAUUUAGUCAUGAAAAGGAGGAGGGCUUUCUUCUAUCUACUUUUUGCUAAAUCUCUCGUCAGUAUUUAUCCAUUAUUUUUUUCUCUACCAUUCUUUUUCUACAAUUCUCUACACUUUAUCUUUUACAAAUAUUUAGUUCUUGAUUUUCAUUAUUCUUUUAAGAUCUAAUAAACUUUUCAAAAAGUGGAGAGUGAGCACCAAUUAUCUUCAUGCUUUAAAGAAUUUUUAGAUUUUGAGGGAUUUUUUUUAAUUUUAUUUUAUGUCUUUUUGUUUAAUUACAAUGAUCAUUGGAUUAAAUAUGUUACACUAAUUUUCAUAAAUGUUUAGUUAAACUUUUCUACUUAUGUAUUAACCUUGUUAUUUAUUUAUUUAAUCAGUAGUUUUUUACCUUCAUAUUUUUAUUAGUUUCAGUUAUUAUUAUUAGUUGACCAUCAUAUUAAUUUAAUAAUAGUGAUUGUUAUAAAAAUAUUUAGGUUGAAUGUAUUAAAGAAACCAUAUUUGCUUCAAUCUAUGUUAGUAAAAGAAAUUUUAGUUGCAUGAUUAGUUUGAGUGGCUAGAGGAAAAGGUACACCACCAUCUCAUUCAUUACAUCUAGGCUUAAAGUAAAACAAAGAGAUUACUAAGUAAUUGGCUAGGCUAAUUAGUGUAUUUAACAUAUAGUUUUAAAUCAUAAGCAUUUACAUUGCAUGUUUAUUUAUAGUUUAUUUUAUGAAUAUUCUAUUUUCUCAAAAUGCUGGUUUAGAGUGUUUAAGUUUACUUUUAUUAUUUUUUUGUUGAUAAUUGAUCAUUAUAAUAAAUGACAUUAUAGUUCCUUGAGAGAUCGACCUCGAGGUGAAUUUACCAUUUUAUUAUACAAAUAAUUCGUACACUUGCAAGUACUAACUUAGAGACAUCAAUAAUUCAGUCAUUUAUCUUUACAAUUGCG